GACGAACGCUGGCGGCGUGCUUAACACGUGCAAGUCGAACGGAAAGGCCCUGCUUUUGUGGGGUGCUCGAGUGGCGAACGGGUGAGUAACACGUGAGUAACCUGCCCUUGACUUUGGGAUAACUUCAGGAAACUGGGGCUAAUACCGGAUAGGAGCUCCUGCUGCAUGGUGGGGGUUGGAAAGUUUCGGCGGUUGGGGAUGGACUCGCGGCUUAUCAGCUUGUUGGUGGGGUAGUGGCUUACCAAGGCUUUGACGGGUAGCCGGCCUGAGAGGGUGACCGGCCACAUUGGGACUGAGAUACGGCCCAGACUCCUACGGGAGGCAGCAGUGGGGAAUAUUGCACAAUGGGCGGAAGCCUGAUGCAGCAACGCCGCGUGCGGGAUGACGGCCUUCAGGUUGUAAACCGCUUUCGCCUGUGACGAAGCGUGAGUGACGGUAAUGGGUAAAGAAGCACCGGCUAACUACGUG
rnacentral:rRNA from 1 species